GACGAACGCUGGCGGCGUGCCUAAUACAUGCAAGUAGAACGCUGAAGGAGGAGCUUGCUUCUCUGGAUGAGUUGCGAACGGGUGAGUAACGCGUAGGUAACCUGCCUGGUAGCGGGGGAUAACUAUUGGAAACGAUAGCUAAUACCGCAUAAUAGUAGAUGUCGCAUGACAUUUGCUUAAAAGGUGCAAUUGCAUCACUACCAGAUGGACCUGCGUUGUAUUAGCUAGUUGGUGAGGUAACGGCUCACCAAGGCAACGAUACAUAGCCGACCUGAGAGGGUGAUCGGCCACACUGGGACUGAGACACGGCCCAGACUCCUACGGGAGGCAGCAGUAGGGAAUCUUCGGCAAUGGACGGAAGUCUGACCGAGCAACGCCGCGUGAGUGAAGAAGGUUUUCGGAUCGUAAAGCUCUGUUGUAAGAGAAGAACGAGUGUGAGAGUGGAAAGUUCACACUGUGACGGCAUCUUACCAGAAAGGGACGGCUAACUACGUG
rnacentral:rRNA from 1 species